UGAUCCUGGCUCAAAGCGAACGCUGGCGGCAUGCUUAACACAUGCAAGUCGCACGAAGGUUUCGGCCUUAGUGGCGGACGGGUGAGUAACGCGUAGGAAUCUAUCCACGGGUGGGGGAUAACUUCGGGAAACUGAAGCUAAUACCGCAUGAUACCUGAGGGUCAAAGGCGCAAGUCGCCUGUGGAGGAGCCUGCGUUUGAUUAGCUUGUUGGUGGGGUAAUGGCCUACCAAGGCGAUGAUCGAUAGCUGGUUUGAGAGGAUGAUCAGCCACACUGGGACUGAGACACGGCCCAGACUCCUGCGGGAGGCAGCAGUGGGGAAUAUUGGACAAUGGGGGCAACCCUGAUCCAGCAAUGCCGCGUGUGUGAAGAAGGUUUUCGGAUUGUAAAGCACUUUCGGCGGGGACGAUGAUGACGGUACCCGCAGAAGAAGCCCCGGCUAACUUCGUGCCAGCAGCCGCGGUAAUACGAAGGGGGCUAGCGUUGCUCGGAAUGACUGGGCGUAAAGGGCGUGUAGGCGGUUUGUACAGUCAGAUGUGAAAUCCCCGGGCUUAACCUGGGAGCUGCAUUUGAUACGUGCAAACUAGAGUGUGAGAGAGGGUUGUGGAAUUCCCAGUGUAGAGGUGAAAUUCGUAGAUAUUGGGAAGAACACCGGUGGCGAAGGCGGCAACCUGGCUCAUAACUGACGCUGAGGCGCGAAAGCGUGGGGAGCAAACAGGAUUA
rnacentral:rRNA from 1 species